GGGUGGUUCAGCAGUUAAGAACACUGACUGCUCUUCCAGAGGACCUGGGUUCAAAUCCCAGCACCCA
rnacentral:tRNA from 1 species